GUAGUCCGGAUUGGAGUCUGCAACUCGACUCCAUGAAGUCGGAAUCGCUAGUAAUCGUGGAUCAGAAUGCCACGGUGAAUACGUUCCCGGGCCUUGUACACACCGCCCGUCACACCAUGGGAGUGGGUUGCAAAAGAAGUAGGUAGCUUAACCUUCGGGAGGGCGCUUACCACUUUGUGAUUCAUGACUGGGGUGAAGUCGUAACAAGGUAACCGUAGGGGAACCUGCGGUUGGAUCACCUCCUUACCUKAAAGAAGC
rnacentral:rRNA from 2 species